rnacentral:rRNA from 1 species
UACGUAGGGGGCAAGCGUUGUCCGGAUUCAUUGGGCGUAAAGAGCGUGUAGGCGGCCAGGUAGGUCGGUUGUGAAAACUGGAGGCUCAACCUUCAGACGUCGACCCAAACCCCCUGGCUAGAGUCCGGAAGAGGAGAGUGGAAUUCCUGGUGUAGCGGUGAAAUGCGCAGAUAUCAGGAGGAACACCGGUGGCGAAGGCGGUUCUCUGGGCAUUACCUGACGCUGAGGAGCGAAAGUGUGGGGAGCGAACAGG